rnacentral:misc_RNA from 1 species
CUCCCCUUACGACAAUUGAAAGUCUGACCAUCACAAACCAGAGUCACCAUGUAAAGCACAAAUUAUAGAGAAUGUAAUUGAUUUAGUCAAAAUAUUUGAGAAGAAAGAUAUCAAUAUCGACCUAAGCAAAUAUGCUUUUAAUGUCCUAUUACAAGAAUGCCAGCUUUAGCUUAUUUUUUGUCACUCCAUAAUAAUACGAGUAGUUCUUAGAGUCAAAAUUGCAAAAACGCCACAGUUGUAGCUACCAGAGUCAACGCUUCAAUGGCUACUUGUGGAUGCUAUAUUAACUAGAAAUUAUGACUCUAGGCUUAAGGUUCAUUUGUUGAAGGAUUUUGAGUUGAAACAGACAGAAAACUAUAACUGUGGACACAAAAAUGCACAAAUAAGAAUGCAUGCACAUAGGAGCUCUAAUUUCUUAAGUUAGAAAAGCACGACUCGUAUUCCCUCAGUCAUGAACAAAAUCUAUAUACAUAUAUAUAUGUAUUUACUCUAACUAUUAUUUUCUUGGAAAUAAAACUCAUAUAACCAGUCCAAUGGGAAAUUUUGGAUAGAUACUACUACAGUGAAUCCACUUGCCCACAAAUCUACAACACGUGCAGCUCACAAUCAGAUCAGUGUUUGAGGCUGGAAAAGGUCAUUCCUCAUCAGAUAGUUAUUGUCCAACCAGAGGAAGAUCUGGCCAUGGAUGAGACAUUAGAAAAUACUCCUACCAUUCAAUAUUUUCGCACAAAGCAAUUGCUCUUAAAAGCAAAUGCACUUGCAUUUGGCUGCCAAAGACUUUUGCCAUUGUACAAGACAGUAAGGCCCGAAAUCUGAGAUCAUUCAUAAUGAAUGACAAUAACAAAAAAAAAGGAAAAUAAGAGCAAAGGUUCUAGCCCGCUGAAACAUAUCGCAAUAUCUCUCCAAACAAGCUACAAAAUGUCUUAGCCAUAACAGAAGAAGACAUGACUUUUACAUUUGAUAUUUCGUCAAUCACCUAAGGCCAAAAAUGUCUUAAAAACAUUAUCCAUAAAAUUUAUCAAAAAGCAACGCUGCACUCAUUUCCCAAGUUUCACGUAUUUUGCCCAUACUAUUCAGUAUCAUUUUUUUAGAGAGGAUACCAUUUAGCAUCUUCAAUAGAGCCAUUAUAUUACUAUCAUCACUAUGGCAUGUUCCAAAUUUUCAACAUUCUUGAAGAUAGAAACGAUCGAACUGCAAUAUUGCCAAUAAUACAGUGUAAACCUCGACUGAGACACCAUCUUGCCCUAAAAAUCACAUUUCACCAACGCCUCAACAAAAUUAUAUACAUUACACCAAGAAUGAAAUACAUGCAUGCCCCCAAAGUCCCACUCCCCAAGCACUAGCAGCAAACCCAAAAAACCGAUAACUAAAAGGCUUCAAUAUCACUCAGUCAGCUCCAUUUUCCCCUCGAACCCAAAAUUGCAUCCAAAUUACAAAUACCCAAUUAGCAUCAGCAAAACCCUAGAAAACCCAAACUCUUGAAAAUGAUGAGUUCGCUUAUUCGACUCAUUCCAUUAAGAUAUUAAUCCAUUGCAAACAAUUAAGGAAAAAAAAAAAAAGAUUGGCAAAAAAUUAUUUGGCUCUGG